AUUAGGGCAUUUGUUUGAGCACAAAAACUUCUCAUAGUUGAACUGAAACUAAAGCUAAACUAUGCAAGCAAAUUCUGGAUCUAGCAUAUCCAUCCUACUUUUGGAGCACCAAAGGCAAAUCAAUAAUAGCAAUGGAAAGAUGAUGAAGAA